GUUUCAUUUCAAUCAGUUUCUUACAAAUCCUGAUUAGUAGACUGGGUAGUUAAUUUAACUGGUUUAUGAACAUUGAGAACAUAAUUCUCGUAACAAUUUGGUCCUUCAAGCCGGAUCUCAAUACCUGCCUCUGUCGUCCCAAGGAACUGCUGAAAACCGUGUACGGUCGGAUCCAGGGUUUAUUUCAGGCCAGUGGUGAACUGGUACACGACAGAGGUGGUGAUGAGAACCAACCAACAUUGCUUUUCCCCGUCUUCAAGGCAAGGAACUCGCAUGUGGAAAUGGCAAUAGUUCUCCUGCAGUUCCACUGCCGGUGGCCAGGAGGCACCCCAGAAGCCCUGCUGUCCUUUCCUGCCUUGACCAACGCCACCAGUGGUGCUGGAAACUUCAGCCUGACCAUGCCUGCCUCUCAGGACCUCAAUGGGAAAAUGGUCCUCUGUAGGGCCAAUCACCCCCUCCAUCAGACAUGGUGCAAAAUGACUGACACUGGUCCUGCAAUGUUCCUACCGAUGGUCUUGACCACAGUGGACCAAGAGGGUAAAAUAGUGGUCACCAUCCACUGCAACAGCCAGGCCACGCCCAAGGCUAUGGUCACAUGGUCCAAAGGUACCGAGCUCUUAACCAAUGGGUUGCAUUACCAGAUCAGCGUGGACACUGCGCAGCUCAGCAUCCAUGAUUUUAACACCAGCACCGCUCAGCUCUACACUUACACCUGUAACUGUAGCAACCCACUGGGCAACAAUGGAAAAAAGACUCUGGGCUUUGUCAUCCAGAUGAUUGGACCAGACUUCCUAACUAUCACUAAAAAUGGCAGCCGAAGGAAAAGAGCCACAGAGGGAUUCCGGAGCAUUCAGCUGAGGCCCGGUUCCUCCCGGAGCACUGAUAUGUCUGUUCUGGAUCCCAAAUGCACAUACUAAUUCUGGGUCAUCCCCAUUGCUGGCAGAACUCAGGGGGAACCAUCAGCAGUGCAGAGAAUUGGACCCGGUGUUUGGAUAAUAUUGCUAUUUAGAUCAGAUUUUUCGGGGGUUGCUAAUCUGUUAACAUAAAUGGAAACCUCUACAUGAUACUGGUAAAGUUAAACUUAUAGUCAACAUUAUGCUUCCACCUCACCUUUGACAUAUCAGUGGAGAGUAGACUCUGUGCUGCUCUAACAGAUUGUACUGUUGUCUGUGCUGCUCUAACAGAUUGUACUGUUGUCUGUGCUGCUCUAACAGAUUGUACUGUUGUCUGUGCUGCUCUAACAGAUUAUACUGUGUCUGUGCUGCUCUAACAGAUUGUACUGUUGUCUGUGCUGCUCUAACAGAUUGUACUGUUGUCUGUGCUGGUAUGACAGGAGGUCUGAGCAGACCACAGAUUACAGGCCUCGCUGUCGGGAGCCCCUGUGGCCUCCUCUUCUUCCUCCUCCUCAUCGGCCUCAUGUACCUCUGUGUCUACUGCUGCAGGAAGAAACGUAGGAGCACUACUCUCAAUCCCCUGAUCUCCCUUCCAUUUGUAUUAUCACAACCGGUAUCAGGUGGUUUUCACUAUAAAAUGGUGUUUCUGUUUCAUAGGUCAACAGAACAGAUAUCCCGUGCCCAGAGCAGUAGAGAAAGUAAUGUCAGUAUUGCACAAAUGUCAUGUUCCUACCAGUACUUUAGUUGGUUGUGGGUAAAAAUGACCGUCUGAACCUCUGUGGAACAUCUGGGCAGGAUGAACCUGCUACUGAAGCUGCUCCUGUGCUGCGUUAUGCUGCAUUAGAGUGCUAUGGUGUGGGUGUGUGUCAUUGUCCAUGAUCAUGUGUGUUUUAACUUGCAGCCUUUUUUAUGGGCAUGUCCUGCAUUGCUUCCGGGCUGCAGCCAAUUGUAGCACUGGCUUUGUUCAUUAUUUUGUCAUGCUUGUUUAAGUCCUCCUCAGCUUAAUUCCCUUUUCAGCAAACAAUAGGAUAGGUGACUACACUCGCCACGACACUGUUAUAGAACAUAUGACGCAUUUUGUCUCAUACAUUAAAAGAUCUAAGCUUCCUUUUCGUAGACACUGUGAGGAUUCUCCUUCCAGUUCAGUUUGUUGUCCACUAUUACACCCAAGUACUUAUAAGAGUCAACAGGGCCAAUCUCUUCACAAUUAAAUAGAAAUUGGAUUUAAAACAUAUUUCUCCCAAAAUCUAUCACUAGCUCCUUGGUCUUUAGUACAUUCAGGUCCAAGUAAUUGGCCGCACACCAUUUCACAAAGCACUUAUAGCACUUAUAGACCACAUAACACAGUUUACUAUAGCAGAGUCAUCAGAGACUUUCUGUUCGUUGUUGUGUGUGAAGUCAUUUGUGUAAAGGGUAAACAGAAAAGGUGACUGCUUCCGUGUUUGUACAUAUCCGAUCUGAUACUGCCUGGUUCAGUCUUACAAACUGUGGUCAAUUGGUCAGGUAUUUCACAAUCCAUUUGAUUGUAUGUGGAUUUAUGUGAAUGUCCUUUAGCUUUUGGGCCAGUAGGUGGGGUUGUACGGUAAUUGAAAGCACUGGAGAAGUGGACCAACAUUGUUCUCACCACACAGCCGGGCUUCUCCAGGUGCUCAUAUACUCUGUGGAGGAGACGAAGACGAGUAUCUUCAACACCAGUUUUUGGGUGGUGGGCAAAUCACAAAGGAUCCAGAUAGGCUGCCACCUCAACUCUUAAUAAAGGUAUUAAAAACCGCUCAGAGGUUUUCAUGACUUGUGUUGUCAAAGCCACUGGUCUAAAGUAUUUCAGUGCAUUCUCUUCUGCUUUCUUUGAGAUGGGCACUAUGCAGGAUGUUUCCCAUUUAGUAUGAAUAUCUGACUAUUAGGGACAGGUUGGAAAUAUACUGCAGUAUGAUAGCCUGUUAAUUAGCACAAACCUUGAGUACUCUGGCUUUAACCCCAUCAGGCCCUGCUGACUUACUGGGAUUGAUCCUCUUCAACUGCUUCACCACUUGUUCCUCCCAGAUGCUCAGUGCUUCCCAGAUCAGAAUCCAGCACCCACCUCCCCUAUUUGCUGUUGCUCUGCUGAACAAUCAUACAUACAAAUUUGGUUAAAAAAAAACAAUAUAAACAGGUUCAACUCUGUGGCUCUGUCCCUUCCCUCAUCACUCUGUAGUUGUCUCCUGGUGCCGCAGCCUGUUGUCUUCAUCAUACCAUCCCAGACAUCCUUCAUGUUAUUCGCUUGCAGCCUGUGUUCUAGCUUCAGUUUGUAUUCGUCUUUGCCUUUCCUGAUCAGACCUUUAAUUUCCUUCUGUACUACUUUCAACUCAUCCCUAUUUCCAGUUUUGUCUCUGUGGAACGCAUUCGACACCUUGUAGAGUCCAUGCCCCGACGAAUUGAGGCUGCUCUGAGGGCAAAAGGGGUGCAACUCAAUAUUGAGAAGGUGUUAUUGUCACACCCUGACCAUAGUUUGCUUUGUAUGUUUCUAUGUUUUGGUUGGUCAGGGUGUGAUCUGAGUGGGCAUUCUAUGUUACAUGUCUAGUUUGUCUAGUUCUAUGUUUGGCCUGAUAUGGUUCUCAAUCAGAGGCAGGUGUUAGUCAUUGUCUCUGAUUGGGAACCAUAUUUAGGUAGCCUGUUUGGUGUUGGGUUUUGUGGGUGAUUGUUCCUGUCUUUGUACCAGAUGGGACUGGGUUAGGUUUUCACACUUUUGUUAGUUAUCGC
ensembl:lncRNA